rnacentral:rRNA from 1 species
CCUACGGGAGGCAGCAGUAGGGAAUCUUUCACAAUGGGCGAAAGCCUGAUGGAGCAACGCCGCGUGCAGGAUGACGGCCUUCGGGUUGUAAACUGCUUUUAUAAGCGAGAAAUAUGAUGGUAACUUAUGAAUAAGGAUCGUCGAACUACGUGCCAGCAGCCGCGGUCAUACGUAGGAUCCGAGCAUUAUCCGGAGUGACUGGGUGUAAAGAGUUUCGUAGGUGGCAUAAUAAGUAGCUAGUGAAAUCUGGUGGCUCAACCAUUAAAACUAUUAGCUAAACUGGUAAGCUCGAGUACGUUAGAGGUAAGUGGAAUUUGUGGUGUAGGGGUGAAAUGCGUAGAUAUUAGAAGGAACACCGAUAGCGUAGGCAGGUUACUGGGACGGUUCUGACACUGAGGCACGAAAGCGUAGGGAGCAAACGGGAUUAGAUACCCGAGUAGUC